rnacentral:lncRNA from 1 species
UCGAACUUAGGAAGCUAGGGUCAGAAGGUUUAGGAUUUUGGAUAUGGUUUUGGUGCAAAAUUUGUGUCAUUUGGGAUUUUUAUGAAAAAGAUAUAGGCGCUCAAAGUUAAGGUGUUAGUUUUUGGAUCUACUAUCACUCUUUGGGGCAUUGCGCAUGCAUACAGAUAGCAAACGAGGAUCGGCGACUGAAGUUGGAGAGAAAACUUUUUCGGCUACAAUUUAUGCCUACUUUUUGUCAAAUUCCAAGCUUUGAUGAAGGAGAUAUUGGCAGUUGAAGUCAGCACUUGGAAUCUAAGGGUAGGAAGUAGCCCGAUUUACUUGUACUUGUGAUUUGAGCUAUAUCUUAGACAAUUUGAUGAGGUUUUGACUCAAAAUUUUCAAGAUUUUGUAUAAUCUUGUUAUAAAAUUUUCUACAUAAGUUUUGUGGAAUUUGGAGUUUGGGUUUUUGAGAUAUAGGGAAAAUAGUUUUCGGGUGCUUGUAAGUUAGGGUUUUGUGCACCUGCUAGGGUUUCUAAGUUGCUGAAAGAUCGGUGAUAGAUGUACGGUUCAUUUUUGUUGUGAUAAGGGUUAAGAAUACCAUCUAUCUUAUGUAGAAAUUUGAAACAAACUGAACGGUUGGAUCGAGAUAUAUGAGAUCCUAAAAUCUGAUGUAAAAAGGUCUUUACGGAAAGAAAAAUGUUUUCAAGGAUUUUAAUAUAAUUUGAG